rnacentral:rRNA from 1 species
UAACACGUAGGGAACCUGCCCAUGCGGCCGGGACAACUUCCGGAAACGGAUGCUGAUACCGGAUAAGGAAAGCGAAGGCAUCUUUGCUUUGUUAAAGGAGCUGCAAGGCUCCGCGCAUGGAUGGACCUGCGGUGCAUUAGCUGGUUGGUGAGGUAAAGGCUCACCAAGGCGACGAUGCAUAGCCGGCCUGAGAGGGCGAACGGCCACACUGGGACUGAGACACGGCCCAGACUCCUACGGGAGGCAGCAG